rfam:Triticum urartu cultivar G1812 contig592057, whole genome shotgun sequence.
UGAGUACUAGAAGAAAAGAACCUAGGCCUAACAAAAUUAAGUGAAUACCCAAAAUAGUAGUCAUUUUAUUUCUAUCUUUCCA